rnacentral:rRNA from 1 species
GUGAGGAAUUUUCCGCAAUGGGCGAAAGCCUGACGGAGCAAUGCCGCGUGAAGGAUGAAGGCCUAUGGGUUGUAAACUUCUUUUCUCAGAAAAGAAUUAUGACGGUAUCUGAGGAAUAAGCAUCGGCUAACUCUGUGCCAGCAGCCGCGGUAAGACAGAGGAUGCAAGCGUUAUCCGGAAUGAUUGGGCGUAAAGCGUCUGUAGGUUGUUUAAAAAGUAUUCUGUCAAAGAUUAGGGCUUAACCCUAGAUAGGCAGAAUAAACUUUUAAGCUAGAGUUUGGUAGAGGCAGAGGGAAUUCCCGGUGGAGCGGUGAAAUGCGUAGAUAUCGGGAGGAACACCAAAGGCGAAGGCACUCUGCUGGGCCAAUACUAACACUGAGAGGCGAAAGCGAGGGGAGCAAAUGGGAUUAGAUACCCUAGUAGUCC